GUCUAAGGCCAUACCACCCUGAACAUGCCCAAUCUCGUCUGGUCUUGAAAGCCAAGCAGGUUCAGGCCUGGUUAGUACUUGGAAGGGAUACAGAUCUUCAGAAGAGACU
rnacentral:rRNA from 1 species